CAUUACUUCAACACAGUGACAAAUAAAACAAAACCAGAUGGACUGGUUACUUUUGAAAGGACUAGCAUUCAAAAAUCACAGCUCCCUUAAUGUAAAAAACAGAAGAAGACUCUGACAAACCUUCACAUCUCUCCAGAAGGAUCCAUUGAGAAAGAGGGCACAGGGAUGCUGCAGGUGGACUUUGCCAGCAGAUAUAUUGGUGGUGGGGUGCUGGGAUCAGGAUUGGUUUAGGAGGAGAUCCUCUUCCUCAUGAGUCCAGAGCUCAUCGUGACCAGACUCUGGGGAGUUUAGCACAGACAAAUUUAGAAAACUAAAACAAUUUCAGUCAGUUACAGCGAUAGUUCAUGCUAAAAUUUUAAUUACAUAAUUCUGUCACACAGUCACAGGACACUUUUUUAUAUCAGCAAAUUUCACACCCGCAAUGCAACAGUUUCACUAUAGAAUGGUUACACACAUAUAAACUUGGUUACAAAACACAGUAACUUGACAGAGUGAUGGUGUUGAUGGUUACAUGACAUU